AUCUUCCGCAAUGGACGAAAGUCUGACGGAGCAACGCCGCGUGAGUGAUGAAGGUUUUCGGAUCGUAAAGCUCUGUUGUUAGGGAAGAACAAGUACCGUUCGAAUAGGGCGGUACCUUGACGGUACCUAACCAGAAAGCCACGGCUAACUACGUGCCAGCAGCCGCGGUAAUACGUAGGUGGCAAGCGUUGUCCGGAAUUAUUGGGCGUAAAGGGCUCGCAGGCGGUUUCUUAAGUCUGAUGUGAAAGCCCCCGGCUCAACCGGGGAGGGUCAUUGGAAACUGGGGAACUUGAGUGCAGAAGAGGGAGUGGAAUUCCAGUGUAGCGGGUGAAAU
rnacentral:rRNA from 1 species